AUGUUUAGGGAGCAAUCUGAUCCAUCUACCCAAGCAAUCAGUGAGACAAUUAGGAGUAAAAUUCAGAUCAAAAGCACAUUUCAUCAGGCUCCACAUCAACCUAGCAGCCGAACAAGUAAAAAAAAAAACAAAUGUUCAAUAGACUCAUCCCGACCACAAAAGGCACAAUUCUUAUUACCUUUCCAGCCCCUCUUAAGCAAAUUAUCUUUAGUUAAAAUGUUUUUUUCUAGUCAUGAGCCGCUUAAAGAUUUUGAUCUUAUUAGCUGGGACGAAGCACUUAUUGGUAUGAAUUUUGGAGUUAUUUUCCUCUAG
rnacentral:rRNA from 1 species